rnacentral:rRNA from 1 species
GAUGAACGCUGGCGGCGUGCCUAAUACAUGCAAGUCGAGCGAACAGACGAGGAGCUUGCUCCUUCGACGUUAGCGGCGGACGGGUGAGUAACACGUAGGUAACCUACCUAUAAGACUGGGAUAACUUCGGGAAACCGGAGCUAAUACCGGAUAAUAUUUCGAACCGCAUGGUUCGAUAGUGAAAGAUGGCUUUGCUAUCACUUAUAGAUGGACCUGCGCCGUAUUAGCUAGUUGGUAAGGUAACGGCUUACCAAGGCAACGAUAAGUAGCCGACCUGAGAGGGUGAUCGGCCACACUGGAACUGAGACACGGUCCAGACUCCUACGGGAGGCAGCAGUAGGGAAUAUUGCGGAAUGGGCGAAAGCAUGACGGAGCAACGGCGCGUGAGUGAUGAAGGUCUUCGGAGCGUAAAACUCUGUUAUUAGGGAAGAACAAACGUGUAAGUAACUGUGCACGUCUUGACGGUACCUAAUCAGAAAGCCACGGCUAACUACGUG